UACGUAGGUGGCAAGCGUUGUCCGGAAUUACUGGGUGUAAAGCGCGUGUAGGCGGCAGACCAAGUCGGCGGUGAAAGCGCCCGGCUCAACUGGGCGAGGUCCGUGGAAACUGGUCAGCUGGAGGACGGUAGAGGCGAGUGGAAUUCCACGUGUAGCGGUGAAAUGCGUAGAGAUGUGGAGGAACACCUGUGGCGAAGGCGCCUUGCUGGCCGAUUUCUGACGCUGAGGCGCGAAAGCGUGGGGAGCAAACAGG
rnacentral:rRNA from 1 species